rnacentral:rRNA from 1 species
UAGGGAAUAUUAGUUAAUGUGCGAAAGCGCGAACUAGCAACGCCGCGUGUGCGAUGAAGGCCUUCGGGUUGUAAAGCACUUUUCUAAGGGAUGAGUAAGGACAGUACCUUAGGAAUAAGCCUCGGCUAACUACGUGCCAGCAGCCGCGGUAAAACGUAGGAGGCGAGCGUUAUCCGGAUUUACUGGGCGUAAAGCGCGUGCAGGCGGUUUGGUAAGUUGGAUGUGAAAGCUCCUGGCUUAACUGGGAGAGGUCGUUCAAUACUGUCAGACUUGAGGAUGGUAGAGGGAGAUGGAAUUACGGGUGUAGUGGUGAAAUGCGUAGAUAUCCGGAGGAACA